rnacentral:rRNA from 1 species
UACGGAGGAUGCAAGCGUUAUCCGGAUUUAUUGGGCGUAAAGCGUCCGUAGGUGGUUAAUCAAGUCUAUUGUCAAAGCCUGGGGCUCAACCCCGAGACGUCGGUGGAAACCACCUGGCUAGAGUCCGGAAGAGGAGAGUGGAAUUCCUGGUGUAGCGGUGAAAUGCGCAGAGAUCGGGAGGAACACCCGUAGCGAAGGCGGCACUCUGGGCCGGUACUGACGCUGAGGAGCGAAAGCGUGGGGAGCAAACAGG